rnacentral:rRNA from 1 species
CCUACGGGGGGCAGCAGUGGGGAAUAUUGGACAAUGGGCGAAAGCCUGAUCCAGCCAUGCCGCGUGUGUGAAGAAGGCCUUCGGGUUGUAAAGCACUUUCAGUGGGGAAGAAAGCCUUGGGGCUAAUACCCUCGAGGAAGGACAUCACCCACAGAAGAAGCACUGGCUAACUCCGUGCCAGCAGCCGCGGUAAUACGGAGGGUGCGAGCGUUAAUCGGAAUUACUGGGCGUAAAGCGCGCGUAGGCGGUCUGAUAAGCCGGUUGUGAAAGCCCCGGGCUCAACCUGGGAACGGCAUCCGGAACUGUCAGGCUAGAGUGCAGGAGAGGAAGGUAGAAUUCCCGGUGUAGCGGUGAAAUGCGUAGAGAUCGGGAGGAAUACCAGUGGCGAAGGCGGCCUUCUGGACUGACACUGACGCUGAGGUGCGAAAGCGUGGGUAGCAAACAGGAUUAGAUACCCCGGUAGUC